UGCGUGCAGAGAAGCGAGCGAGCAGCUGUGUAGCGAUGCCUGUGACCUAACCCGUCUCCCCCGCGAACCCCGCCUCCUCUCCUGCCGCCGCCGCCGCGCCCCCUGCUCCCCUUCUACAUGCUCGCCGCUGCCCCGCCUCGAGCCAGCCGCCGUUCGGUAAAAACCUAACCUCCACACCCACGCCCCCACCAGACCCUCCCUCCUCUUCCUCGACCUCCCUCCUAGCUGCCGCCGCCUCCCCUCCGCGGUCAACCUCCUUGUUACCGGUGAUGCUCCAGCGCCUUGGCCCGGUCGCCUCUGUCUCCUGCCGUGCUCUCUCGUGCUGCUGUGCCUCCUAGACGACGCUCGCAUGCCUCGGAUGCGCCCCCUUCUAUCCCGAGCUCCAGAUCGAUGGCUGCAGCGGCGAGGUAAGCAGUGCAAAGGCUACCUCCUACUAAAUACCUUUUUUUGUUCAAAUACCAAAACACUUUGUCAGGGUUGUCAAUGGCAAAGAAGCAACCUUGUUAUUUAGUUCAGUCCACCGUAAAGACAGCUCGGGAGACAACCUUCUUCUGAAAUCAUUGAUUUGUUUUUUUAGCCCAACCUCUGAUUGAUCUGGUAUAAUUUAUCAAAUUCCUCCAGAGUACAUUCAGGUUCAAAGCAAAUGUUGUAUAGCUCAGGAUAUUGUUCAGUGAAGGAUUUACCAUCCACAGGCACAUCUUUCCAUACCCCAGCUUUAUCACUUUUUCUGCAAAGAGAUCUCGCGCCCAAUCAAAUAAAGUUCUCUAACCUUCAUAAUUGAUUUCUAGCAAGGGGAAUCAGUGACUCUUGUUUUAGUAGUAUUAAUAGUUUUGUUCUUGAAAUAUUUGGCUCUAACAACUUGUUGCCAUAGCCCCUCUUGAGUCUCAAGUUUCUUGUAGAAGGUCACCACAGGCGCUGGGGUCGACGCAGAGCAUCGACGACGGUGCCAUUGUCCUCGCGUGAUUCAUCAGAUGCAACCUCACCCCCGCGCCGGCUUUUGACGGAGCUGCUCACCAAGGAGGACCUCGUCGCCUACAUCGCAUCUGGGUGUAAGCCCAAGGAGAACUGGAGAUGAAAUUGCAACACCUGGUACCGAGACCAUGCUGGGAUUUUCUGAUCAUGUCAGGAGCUUUGUAAAUCCUGUAUGGACGUCUUCUUUGAGUGGAAAUUAUUCGAAUACAACAUCACGGAUAGGAAAACAGUUGGACAUCAGCCAUGAAAAGGUUCGAGGUCUUUCACGGAGUUUCCUACCAGCUAUCAUCUAGAGCACUAUCCUUGUGAAAAUUUCUCAUUUUCUCCUCCACCUAUUGAUAGGAGACGCACUCGACAAGGGUGUAAGUAGUCUCACCAGUCCAAUUCAGAGUUACAAAAAAGUUCUAAAUCUGAUAAUAUUAUUUUAAACGUGUGUAGCAUGUCCUGUUUGUUAUGUGCCUGUUGACUAGACCCUGGCAUUGAUGCCAGCUGCUAAUCUGUCCGAAGACAAUUACAAUUUGGUACUCAUAGGUCCAAUAGUGGUUCUUUGUUUUGUGGUUAUCCAUCCCUGGAACAACGAGAUAUGUCUUAUAUGACAUAAAAGACUCGAUGACAGUACAUUGUGGGUAUGUCCUUGUAUGACUCAAAUGAUUUAACUCUUGUACAUUUAUAUGAUCACUGUGUGUUGUAUCGCUAACCUUUUCUUUAUAUUAAGAUCUGUGAGGGGGGAAGAUACAUGGUCUCGAUACUGCAUUCGGUAACUGCAUCCUCUUUUCUAUGCCAAUUAUAUUUACAUGUUGUCAUGUUUCCAUACCGGUUCUAAUUGCACAUCGUGUGUGAACUUUUUUAUUUGUUUUUCUCAGAGAAUUAUGAUAUAAUGCAACAACCAGAAAACAUUAGUACAUUUUCAAAAGAUAUUGUUUGCUUCUUCAUGUUUCUGGAUGAAGAAACUGAAGCUGCAAUAAAGAAGAUCACUACUGUUGAUAAUAUGAAAAGAAUCAGGCUGUGGCGGGUGGUUGUUGUGCACAACCUUAUCCUGACCCAACAGCUUUUGUGAAAAUCAGCCUAAAAUCACUGUGCAAUUCAUUGUGAAGAAAAUAUAAAAAAAUACUACCGAACCGACAAAGUUUUGAAGCUGGCUUCGCCUCUGCUGUACUGUACAUUUUGUUAUUUGAUUUUCCUAAUUGAAUCUUUUUGGUGCCAGUUACUUCUGGCAUGGAGAUUGUGCACAAGUUAAAAUUCAGCUUAGCGGAUAAACUAAAAUUUAGUUGCAAAUAUAAUUCUACGCAAUCUUCUAAAAGCAACAUGCGCUCUUAUCUAGAUAACUGAUCCAACAUGUUUUCAUUCUUUUAUGCAUUGGGUCAGUGUGAAAAGUUUCUUGACUCCACAAUCAUUUUUCUGUUCUGUUGAAAGACGAGAGGAGUAUGUCAUGCUUAAUGUGAAUCAGCAUGAGCGAAUUGUUUUCCUAAUCAUGUAUUUUCCUUGUGGUAAUUUUUUAAUUGAAAUGCCAUGCUUAAUGCGAAUCAGCAUGAGCGAAUUAUUUUCCUCGUGUAUUUUCCUUGUUAUAAUUUUUUAACUGAAUCCCUUGUGAUAUUUAGGUUCCAAAACUAUUACUUCAUCGGCUCUUUCCUAAUGUGCGGUAUUCACUCUAGAUCGAUGGGAAACUUAAACUUGUGAAGGAUCCUUAUCAGCUGUUAAAGAGAUUCUUGUGGAGGAAAAAUGUGCGCUUCACUAUUUCCAGGUAUUAUAGACGCUUUGAUGUCUUUGAGGAAGCUGAGGCCAACAAGGCUGGAAGUAUGAUAAUGCUUCAAUCGAUAACCAAAUGAAGUUCUACAAGACAGAGGGUUUAACCCAUUAUUCAUCAGCUAAGCUCCUUAUUACAAGCGGCAAAUGGUUCUUCCUACUGAAUUCUGAUAUAGAAAUAUUUCUCCUGAGAACAUAAGGGAUACAUUUAUCUUGAACAGAUGUCCUUGAGGGUUGUGUAAUUAUAGGAGAGCCCAUACCCAUCACCAAUCUCUUCACACGCCUUUGGUUCAAUGAAGUUGAUCGUCCCACCUCAAGAGAUCAGCUAAGCUUUAGCACAACGAGGGAUAAAAUAAGAUCAAGAGUUCUUUUUGACAACUAAAUAAGAUCAGGAGUUAAUUGGACUGCAGACAUGUUCCUGGAUUGUGGAAGGCGUGAAUUUGUUCAGGUACUUUUGAGUUAAUGCUUUGUGCGGCACAUCAUUCCAUUUGCAACCUGAAGUACUACUGCAACUUGGUACCGAGUGUAGACUUUAUCAAAUUACACAAAAAAAAUCCAGCAUAACAAUGGAUCUUCGCAUCUAAAUAGGGAGCUGUUUGAAAACAACAUCAGUGGAUCGAUGAUUUUUUUGGAAAGAACACAAUGUCAGGAUCUUUGACAGAAUAGAAUUUUACUGGAGUUUGAGGCUAUAUUAUUGAUGAGGUAUCCUGGAGAGCUGCAAGUUGCUUCUCUUGUUUUGAAUCAUGUUCUUGUUGUUUUCUCCCUGCUGAGAGUGUAUUAGUGUACUCAUCAUGAUCUCUGAGGCUAUGUUUACAGUUGCAUCAUUGUUUUCUUGAAAAUUGACCCUCUAAAUUCAUGUUCUCUUAUAACUGAUCCUGUAAAAUCUUCCCUGUAUUUUAAUGAAGUUUCACGUCAUGCCUUUUA